rnacentral:rRNA from 1 species
AACGAACGCUGGCGGCAGGCUUAACACAUGCAAGUCGAACGCAUCGCAAGAUGAGUGGCAGACGGGUGAGUAACGCGUGGGAAUUUACCCAGUUCUACGGAACAACUGAGGGAAACUUCAGCUAAUACCGUAUACGCCCUACGGGGGAAAGAUUUAUUGGAAUUGGAUGAGCCCGCGUUGGAUUAGCUAGUUGGUGAGGUAACGGCUCACCAAGGCGACGAUCCAUAGCUGGUCUGAGAGGAUGAUCAGCCACACUGGGACUGAGACACGGCCCAGACUCCUACGGGAGGCAGCAGUGGGGAAUAUUGGACAAUGGGCGCAAGCCUGAUCCAGCCAUGCCGCGUGAGUGAUGAAGGCCUUAGGGUUGUAAAGCUCUUUCAGUGGGGACGAUAAUGACGGUACCCACAGAAGAAGCCCCGGCUAACUUCGUGCCAGCCGCCGCGGUAAGAC